GCACAAUGGGCGCAAGCUUGUGUCAUCCAUGCGGCGUGUGUGAAGAAGGCCUUCGGGUUGUAAAGCAUAUUCAGUCAGGAGGAAAGGUUUAGUAGUUAAUACCUGCUAGCUGUGACGUUACUGACAGAAGAAGCACGGGGUAACUCCGUGCCAGCAAACGCGGUAAUACGGAGGGAGCGAGCGUUAAUCGGAAUUACUGGGCGUAAAGAGUACGCAGGCGGUUUGUUAAGCGAGAUGUGAAAGCCCCGGGCUCAACCUGGGAACUGCAUUUCGAACUGGCAAACUAGAGUGUGAUAGAGGGUGGUAGAAUUUCAGGUGUAGCGGUGAAAUGCGUAGAGAUCUGAAGGAAUACCGAUGGCGAAGGCAGCCACCUGGGUCAACACUGACGCUCAUGUACGAAAGCGUGGGGAGCAAACAGGAUUAGAUACCCUGGUAGUCCACGCCGUAAACGAUGUCUACUAGAAGCUGGAAACCUCGGCUCUGUUUUCAAAGCUAACGCAUAAGUAGAC
rnacentral:rRNA from 1 species